GAAUGAUUGCUUGUCUGUUUUCUCAUAGUAGUUUUCUGAAUGGUAGGUAUUUGUCUUCAUUACAGUGUUGUGAUUCUGUUCAUCUUCAUUGUGUUACUGUGGGUCUGGUCAUCUUCAUGGUAAUGUUGUGAAUGAUAUCUUGAAUGCUGAAGUGUUGUGAAUGGUAGCCCUGGUGUUGCAUCAAUGAGGAGUGCUCCCUCUGCUGAUCAAAUUGGAACAUCACAUUUUUUCACCUUCUCCCCCUUUCUUCCCUUUUCACUGGUCUAACUCCCUCUCUCCCCCUCUCUCCCAUCGGUCACCCCCCCUCCUCUGUCUCACACCCACCCACCCACACGAAUGCAGAUGGAUUGGGAGACCACCGUGAAGAAGCUUCCUUCCAUCAAAGAGGACGAGGAAGGGUCAGAGGAGAAUCGAAACUCGCCCCUUCCCAAAAUGUCCCGUACCCCUCUAGGUCUGGGGCGUGGACUGAGCUCCCCACUGCGCUCCCCGCUGCGCUCACCCCUGUUGCCCCCGCGCGGCCCCUUCCGCACGCCCACCGACCGCCACACCCAGCGGCCCACCAACCUGAAUAUCCCUGCGGUGAGCUUCAGCUGCGCCCCCCCGGACCUCAGUCCCAGGUUUGUGGAUGGGAUUGAGACCGACAGUGGUCGCAGUUUGGGCCAGAAGUUUGACUUCAGUCCCAGCGUGACCCAGUUAUUUCCAUCAAGCCCUAAUCCAGGAAUACUGAAUGAUUCAGACACCAUGCAGACUAUUGCCACUCUGAAAGAAGAGAUGACCAGCCUAUCCCACCAGGUGUCCCAGGUGGUCCAUGACCUCCAGGAGAUGACACAGCUGCUGAGGCCCCUCCUCCAGCCCCUCCAGUGUCCCUCCCAGUCCGUCCUCUCAUCCCUGAUGGCUGCUCUGUCUCCACCCACUAUCAGUGGCCACGCCCCUCCGCCGGACACACGCCCCUUUGACUCCACCUCACCGCGUGUGAAAGACACAGGGAUGUGGAGGGAGAGGAGACACUCGGACCCCCAUUUUAAGCCACCAAUUGGGGGCGUGCUCCCCACCCGCUCGGCUUCUACAGGGGCCAAGCCGUCCCCCACCGGCCCUGUUCAGCUCAGCUUCAUUGACGAGGAGAGACCCAUCAUCUGAGGGCCAAGUAGAAGUCAAUGCUAGGCCAGAUUUUCCUCACUGACAGUUAAGUAUGGGAUUGGGAGAGCCUAGGACAGGCAGAGACUGGCAUUAGAGAAUGGCAUCAGAGACUAACAUCAUAGACUGGCAUCGGAGAUAGGCUGGCACAUCACUGCAUGCGGCACAUGCCCAUGACUAACGCAGGUCACUAUUUCUGGAAUACUUAGAGGCCAGGAGAUAUUUAUCAUUAAAAAAUCUAUGUAUUAUUAAUAUUAAAUAUAUUAUUCAAUGUUAUGUCAUGAGAAGUUGUUACACAUCAUCUACCACUGGA
ensembl:lncRNA